UACAGAGGGUGCGAGCGUUGUUCGGAAUUACUGGGCGUAAAGCGCGCGCAGGCGGCCUUUUAAGUCUGACGGUGAAAUGCCGGGGCUCAACCCCGUGCCCGCCGGAGAUACUAGGAGGCUGGAGACGAGUAGAGGCAAGCGGAAUUCCGGGUGUAGCGGUGGAAUGCGUAGAGAUCCGGAAGAACACCGGAGGCGAAGGCGGCUUGCUGGGCUUUGUCUGACGCUGAGGCGCGAAAGCGUGGGGAGCGAACAGG
rnacentral:rRNA from 1 species